AUAUCAAUAAGCGGAGGAAAAGAAACUAACAAGGAUUCCCUUAGUAACUGCGAGUGAAGAGGGAAGAGCUCAAAUUUAAAAUCUGGCAGUGUCUUGCUGUCCGAGUUGUAAUCUAGAGAAGUGCUGCCCGUGCUGGACCAUGUACAAGUCUCCUGGAAUGGAGCGUCACAGAGGGUGAGAAUCCCGUCUUUGACAUGGACUACCAGUGCAUUUGUGGUGUGCUCUCAAAGAGUCGAGUUGUUUGGGAAUGCAGCUCUAAAUGGGUGGUAAACUCCAUCUAAAGCUAAAUAUUGGCGAGAGACCGAUAGCGAACAAGUACCGUGAGGGAAAGAUGAAAAGAACUUUGGAAAGAGAGUUAAACAGUAUGUGAAAUUGUUGAAAGGGAAACGCUUAAAGUCAGUCGUGUCGGCCAGGGAUCAACUCAGCUUUCUUUGCUGGGUGUACUUCCUGAUCUGAUGGGCCAACAUCAGUUUUGACUGCUGGAGAAGGAUAGAGGGAAUGUGGCACCUUUGGGUGUGUUAUAGCUCUCUGUCAGAUGCAGUGGUUGGGACUGAGGAUUGCAGCAUGCCGCAAGGCCGGGUCGUUUCGACUACGUUCAUGCUGAGGAUGUUGGCAUAAUGGCUUUAAUCGA
rnacentral:rRNA from 1 species